rnacentral:misc_RNA from 1 species
AUCAAAGCUUGGUGAACCCCCAACUGAUGGGAAAACUGAUACAAAUCCAGAAGGAUUGACUGCGGCUUAUGGGAAAUGGGCAUCUGCAGUGGCUGCAAGAUUGCAGAAUGGAGGACUCUCUUGCAAGGUACUUGAUAAGGAGCCUUUUCAGAAGCAAAUGCUGGAGAAGCUUAUAUGGAUAUGUGCUUUCAUGCUUGUUGGAGCUCGCCAUCCUGGAGCUACAGUAGGAGCAGUUGAAAAAGAGUACCGCUCUGAGGUGUCAAAACUAAUUGCUGAGCUUGCGGCUGCAGCAGCUGCAGAGAAAGGUCUUGUUUUUGAGGAUGCCAUGGAAGACAGGCUCUGCGCUUACUCACGAGCAGUUGCACACUUUCCAACGGCUGUCAAGGAGUUCAAAUGGAGAAACGGAUGGUUCUAUUCACUCUCUGAGAAGGCAAUUGCAGAAGGGAAACCAGAUCCAUGCCCAUUGCAUACUGCAUGGCUUAAAGAACUAAAAAUAGUCUAGGAUAAUAACCGUUAUUUGAUAUAUAUUAUGAUUGUUGAGGUCCA